AACACUCGCAUAUAUAUUUAUUUGUAUGUAUAUUUCGAGGGUACUUGUUUGUAUUGGGUGCGUGUCACGAUUUGAUUCCUGUCUUUACGAGGCGACUUUAAUUGCUUUGGCCGUGCAAUCAGACGCGACCAAAAGCGCCAUCAAAUCGCGCGGAAAACGCGAGCUCACCCCUCGCGCUUAAAAUCACCUUAAUCGCCAAAUGCCAAAAAUUGGGUGCUGAGCUGCGAGGGCAGAGGUUAAAGGUUAGAGGGCGUAGUGGGCCUGAAGACUGUAGUAGCCUGAGCCUAAGUCCCAGUGUUAAGUGCGUUAGCAAGUGUGCAGGCGUCUGUGGUUCAGUUUAUGCCCAGAUCCAUAUCACGAAUUACAGUAAGUGAAUGCGAUUUGUUGUCUGCGACGUGAGAAGUGG
rnacentral:lncRNA from 1 species